AGCGUACACGGUGGAUGCCCUGGCAGUCAGAGGCGAUGAAGGACGUGCUAAUCUGCGAUAAGCGUCGGUGAGGUGAUAUGAACCGUUAUAACCGGCGAUUUCCGAAUGGGGAAACCCAGUGUGUUUCGACACACUAUCAUUAACUGAAUCCAUAGGUUAAUGAGGCGAACCGGGGGAACUGAAACAUCUAAGUACCCCGAGGAAAAGAAAUCAACCGAGAUUCCCCCAGUAGCGGCGAGCGAACGGGGAGGAGCCCAGAGCCUGAAUCAGUGUGUGUGUUAGUGGAAGCGUCUGGAAAGGCGUGCGAUACAGGGUGACAGCCCCGUACACAAAAAUGCACAUAUUGUGAGCUCGAUGAGUAGGGCGGGACACGUGGUAUCCUGUCUGAAUAUGGGGGGACCAUCCUCCAAGGCUAAAUACUCCUGACUGACCGAUAGUGAACCAGUACCGUGAGGGAAAGGCGAAAAGAACCCCGGCGAGGGGAGUGAAAAAGAACCUGAAACCGUGUACGUACAAGCAGUGGGAGCCUCUUAAUGGGGUGACUGCGUACCUUUUGUAUAAUGGGUCAGCGACUUAUAUUCUGUAGCAAGGUUAACCGAAUAGGGGAGCCGAAGGGAAACCGAGUCUUAACUGGGCGUUAAGUUGCAGGGUAUAGACCCGAAACCCGGUGAUCUAGCCAUGGGCAGGUUGAAGGUUGGGUAACACUAACUGGAGGACCGAACCGACUAAUGUUGAAAAAUUAGCGGAUGACUUGUGGCUGGGGGUGAAAGGCCAAUCAAACCGGGAGAUAGCUGGUUCUCCCCGAAAGCUAUUUAGGUAGCGCCUCGUGAAUUCAUCUCCGGGGGUAGAGCACUGUUUCGGCAAGGGGGUCAUCCCGACUUACCAACCCGAUGCAAACUGCGAAUACCGGAGAAUGUUAUCACGGGAGACACACGGCGGGUGCUAACGUCCGUCGUGAAGAGGGAAACAACCCAGACCGCCAGCUAAGGUCCCAAAGUCAUGGUUAAGUGGGAAACGAUGUGGGAAGGCCCAGACAGCCAGGAUGUUGGCUUAGAAGCAGCCAUCAUUUAAAGAAAGCGUAAUAGCUCACUGGUCGAGUCGGCCUGCGCGGAAGAUGUAACGGGGCUAAACCAUGCACCGAAGCUGCGGCAGCGACACUAUGUGUUGUUGGGUAGGGGAGCGUUCUGUAAGCCUGUGAAGGUGGCCUGUGAGGGUUGCUGGAGGUAUCAGAAGUGCGAAUGCUGACAUAAGUAACGAUAAAGCGGGUGAAAAGCCCGCUCGCCGGAAGACCAAGGGUUCCUGUCCAACGUUAAUCGGGGCAGGGUGAGUCGACCCCUAAGGCGAGGCCGAAAGGCGUAGUCGAUGGGAAACAGGUUAAUAUUCCUGUACUUGGUGUUACUGCGAAGGGGGGACGGAGAAGGCUAUGUUGGCCGGGCGACGGUUGUCCCGGUUUAAGCGUGUAGGCUGGUUUUCCAGGCAAAUCCGGAAAACCAAGGCUGAGGCGUGAUGACGAGGCACUACGGUGCUGAAGCGACAAAUGCCCUGCUUCCAGGAAAAGCCUCUAAGCAUCAGGUAACAUCAAAUCGUACCCCAAACCGACACAGGUGGUCAGGUAGAGAAUACCAAGGCGCUUGAGAGAACUCGGGUGAAGGAACUAGGCAAAAUGGUGCCGUAACUUCGGGAGAAGGCACGCUGAUAUGUAGGUGAAGCGACUUGCUCGUGGAGCUGAAAUCAGUCGAAGAUACCAGCUGGCUGCAACUGUUUAUUAAAAACACAGCACUGUGCAAACACGAAAGUGGACGUAUACGGUGUGACGCCUGCCCGGUGCCGGAAGGUUAAUUGAUGGGGUUAGCGGUAACGCGAAGCUCUUGAUCGAAGCCCCGGUAAACGGCGGCCGUAACUAUAACGGUCCUAAGGUAGCGAAAUUCCUUGUCGGGUAAGUUCCGACCUGCACGAAUGGCGUAAUGAUGGCCAGGCUGUCUCCACCCGAGACUCAGUGAAAUUGAACUCGCUGUGAAGAUGCAGUGUACCCGCGGCAAGACGGAAAGACCCCGUGAACCUUUACUAUAGCUUGACACUGAACAUUGAGCCUUGAUGUGUAGGAUAGGUGGGAGGCUUUGAAGUGUGGACGCCAGUCUGCAUGGAGCCGACCUUGAAAUACCACCCUUUAAUGUUUGAUGUUCUAACGUUGGCCCGUAAUCCGGGUUGCGGACAGUGUCUGGUGGGUAGUUUGACUGGGGCGGUCUCCUCCUAAAGAGUAACGGAGGAGCACGAAGGUUGGCUAAUCCUGGUCGGACAUCAGGAGGUUAGUGCAAUGGCAUAAGCCAGCUUGACUGCGAGCGUGACGGCGCGAGCAGGUGCGAAAGCAGGUCAUAGUGAUCCGGUGGUUCUGAAUGGAAGGGCCAUCGCUCAACGGAUAAAAGGUACUCCGGGGAUAACAGGCUGAUACCGCCCAAGAGUUCAUAUCGACGGCGGUGUUUGGCACCUCGAUGUCGGCUCAUCACAUCCUGGGGCUGAAGUAGGUCCCAAGGGUAUGGCUGUUCGCCAUUUAAAGUGGUACGCGAGCUGGGUUUAGAACGUCGUGAGACAGUUCGGUCCCUAUCUGCCGUGGGCGCUGGAGAACUGAGGGGGGCUGCUCCUAGUACGAGAGGACCGGAGUGGACGCAUCACUGGU
rnacentral:rRNA from 1 species